rnacentral:tRNA from 2 species
GCGUUCUUAACUCAGUUGGUAGAGUGUCACUAUGACAUAGUGAAAGUCAGAGGUUCAAAUCCUCUAGAACGCA